rnacentral:rRNA from 1 species
UAAGCGGAGGAAAAGAAACCAACAGGGAUUGCCUCAGUAGCGGCGAGUGAAGCGGCAAAAGCUCAAAUUUGAAAUCUGGCGUCUUUGGCGUCCGAGUUGUAAUUUGAAGAAGGUAUCUUUGGGCCCGGCUCUUGUCUAUGUUCCUUGGAACAGGACGUCACAGAGGGUGAGAAUCCCGUGCGAUGAGAUGACCCGGGUCUGUGUAAAGUUCCUUCGACGAGUCGAGUUGUUUGGGAAUGCAGCUCUAAGUGGGUGGUAAAUUCCAUCUAAAGCUAAAUAUUGGCGAGAGACCGAUAGCGAACAAGUACAGUGAUGGAAAGAUGAAAAGAACUUUGAAAAGAGAGUGAAAAAGUACGUGAAAUUGUUGAAAGGGAAGGGCUUGAGAUCAGACUUGGUAUUUUGCAUGUUGCUCUCUCGGGGGCGGCCGCUGCGGUUUACCGGGCCAGCAUCGGUUUGGAGCGGCAGGAUAAUGGCGGAGGAAUGUGGCACGGCUUCUGCUGUGUGUUAUAGCCUCUGACGAUGCUGCCAGCCUAGACCGAGGACUGCGGUUUUUUACCUAGGAUGUUGGCAUAAUGAUCUUAAGUCGCCCGUCUUG